AAGUCGUAACAAGGUCUCCGUAGGUGAACCUGCGGAGGGAUCAUUAACACGUGCCAAAACACGUUUUAAACCAAUCGCUCUGUGAACACAAACCUCCCUCAUAUAUGAAUGAUCGAACAACCAUCAGGGUAGAGGAUGUGCAUGGGGAUACUCAGCUUCGGCUGACUCGCCAUGUCUUCACUAUCAUCUCGAAUGUCCAAUUCUGUGCGAAGUGUUUGCGCGACUACCUGGCAGUAUGCCUUUCUCGGCCUUGUGUUGAGACCGUGCAAGCGUUCUGCCGAAUGUUUAACAAAUUUUUAACCCCGUUAACACAUACUAAUAACUGAACCAUGUUCAUGCAAUCGCUUGUAUGUUUCGGCAUACAUGAAAUGAUACAUGAUACGAUAUACGUAAUGCUGAACAAAUCUUAGCAAUGGAUAUCUUGGUUCUC
rnacentral:misc_RNA from 1 species